UACGUAGGUGGCUAGCGUUGUCCGGAUUUACUGGGCGUAAAGAGCGCGCAGGCGGUCGUUCAAGUCGAGUGUGAAAGCCCCCGGCUCAACUGGGGAGGGUCACUCGAUACUGAUCGACUCGAAGGCAGGAGAGGGAAGCGGAAUUCCCGGUGUAGUGGUGAAAUGCGUAGAUAUCGGGAGGAACACCAGUGGCGAAGGCGGCUUUCUGGCCUGUUCUUGACGCUGAGGCGCGAAAGCUAGGGUAGCAAAACAGG
rnacentral:rRNA from 1 species